rnacentral:rRNA from 1 species
GACAGAGGGGGCAAGCGUUGCUCGGAAUUACUGGGCGUAAAGCGCGCGUAGGCGGCAGCGUGUGUCGGGCGUGAAAUCCCACGGCUCAACCGUGGAAGUGCACUCGAAACUGCGCAGCUGGAGUCUCGGAGAGGAAGGCGGAAUGCUUGGUGUAGAGGUGAAAUUCGUAGAUAUCAAGCGGAACACCGAUGGCGAAGGCGGCCUUCUGGACGAUGACUGACGCUGAAGCGCGAAAGCGUGGGGAGCAAACAGG